rnacentral:rRNA from 1 species
AAGAUCGUGAGAUGGAGCAAAUCCCAGAAAUAACGUCCCAGUUCGGAUUGUAGUCUGCAACCCGGCUACAUGAAGCUGGAAUCGCUAGUAAUCGCGGAUCAGAAUGCCGCGGUGAAUACGUUCCCGGGUCUUGUACACACCGCCCGUCACACCAUGGGAGCCGGAAAUGCCCGAAGUCAGUGACCCAACCGCAAGGAGGGAGCUGCCGAAGGUGGAGCUGGUAACUGGGGUGAAGUCGUAACAAGGUAGC